rnacentral:rRNA from 1 species
GACGAACGCUGGCGGCGUGCCUAAUACAUGCAAGUAGAACGCUGAAGGAGGAGCUUGCUUCUCCGGAUGAGUUGCGAACGGGUGAGUAACGCGUAGGUAACCUGCCUGGUAGCGGGGGAUAACUAUUGGAAACGAUAGCUAAUACCGCAUAACAGUAGAUGUUGCAUGACAUUUGCUUAAAAGGUGCAAUUGCAUCACUACCAGAUGGACCUGCGUUGUAUUAGCUAGUUGGUGAGGUAACGGCUCACCAAGGCGACGAUACAUAGCCGACCUGAGAGGGUGAUCGGCCACACUGGGACUGAGACACGGCCCAGACUCCUACGGGAGGCAGCAGUAGGGAAUCUUCGGCAAUGGACGGAAGUCUGACCGAGCAACGCCGCGGGAGUGAAGAAGGUUUUCGGAUCGUAAAGCUCGGUUGUAAGAGAAGAACGAGUGUGAGAGUGGAAAGUUCACACUGUGACGGUAUCUUACCAGAAAGGGACGGCUAACUACGUG